rnacentral:tRNA from 1 species
CUUCCCGUAGUUAAAUGGAUAUAACGGGGCCCUCCUAAGGCUCUGUUGUGGGUUCGAUUCCCGCCGAGAAGACCA